GCACAUAGGGCUAGAUCACGCAUUCUCAGUGGGGGACCCGGAAAACUCCAAAAAGGCUGCAGGGAGGGGACAAUGAUGAAAUCAGGUUGUGAAACACUGGGCUGGUGUCGCAGUGGUGGUGCUGGGUGUUCAGUCCCGCUUUAAUGCUGUAAGAAGCACUCUACACACACGAACAUGUUACCAUUUGACCGUUGUUUAAUGGCGUACGUGGGGACUUACUCGGAGCAGGAUGAUGCUGUGCCUUGAUGGUAAUGAGUGCUCAGUAAGUAAGCAUUUGUGGAAGAUUGAACGCAUGGCCCCUGAAAUGCUCUCCUCUGCUUUCCUGCCCCCUCACUGUCUCUCACUCGCAGUCCUUAAUUAAUCACCGGUUCUCUUCUGAGUCUCUCUCAUUUUUCCUUCUUCAUCCUCUGCUGGGCAGGCGUCUCCAGACCCAUUAAGUAUAUUAAUGAGUUCCUGGCACCAGCCCUGUGCACUCAGGUAACUGAUUGAACAGCCUUUAGUCUGCAGUUGGCGUUUCCAGUGCAUGGUCUUGCAAACUAACCUCCAGUCAGAUCGCUCUGAGCCAGCUGCUGUUUGUGUGGCUCUAACCCUCUGGGGUCCUAGGUAGCAGCACUCAGACUGGGCCGGAAAGUCCUCCGAUUCUGGGGGGAAGGGGAGAGGGGGAAGAGGUCCCACAGAAGGUCCCUUGGUGGGCUUCCGCGUCGGCCUCAACAGUGGUUCUCUCUAACAAUGCUGCUCAAGCCUGCUUUUAAAGUUAAUGUCAGUAAUUUGAUUUGAUUGUUCCUUCCAGGUGUCUCAAAGGCUGUUGAGCACAUCAAUAAAACUAUUGCGCCUGCCCUGGUUAGCAAGAAACUGAAUGUCACAGAACAAGAGAAGAUUGACAAACUGAUGAUCGAGAUGGAUGGAACAGAAAAUAAAUCUAAGUUUGGUGCGAAUGCCAUUCUGGGGGUGUCCCUUGCCGUCUGCAAAGCUGGUGCCGUUGAGAAGGGGGUCCCCCUGUACCGCCACAUCGCUGACUUGGCUGGCAACUCUGAAGUCAUCCUGCCAGUCCCGGCGUUCAAUGUCAUCAAUGGCGGUUCUCAUGCUGGCAACAAGCUGGCCAUGCAGGAGUUCAUGAUCCUCCCAGUCGGUGCAGCAAACUUCAGGGAAGCCAUGCGCAUUGGAGCAGAGGUUUACCACAACCUGAAGAAUGUCAUCAAGGAGAAAUACGGGAAAGAUGCCACCAAUGUGGGGGAUGAAGGCGGGUUUGCUCCCAACAUCCUGGAGAAUAAAGAAGGCCUGGAGCUGCUGAAGACUGCUAUUGGGAAAGCUGGCUACACUGAUAAGGUGGUCAUCGGCAUGGAUGUAGCGGCCUCCGAGUUCUUCAGGUCUGGGAAGUAUGACCUGGACUUCAAGUCUCCCGAUGACCCCAGCAGGUACAUCUCGCCUGACCAGCUGGCUGACCUGUACAAGUCCUUCAUCAAGGACUACCCAGUGGUGUCUAUCGAAGAUCCCUUUGACCAGGAUGACUGGGGAGCUUGGCAGAAGUUCACGGCCAGUGCAGGAAUCCAGGUAGUGGGGGAUGAUCUCACAGUGACCAACCCAAAGAGGAUCGCCAAGGCCGUGAACGAGAAGUCCUGCAACUGCCUCCUGCUCAAAGUCAACCAGAUUGGCUCCGUGACCGAGUCUCUUCAGGCGUGCAAGCUGGCCCAGGCCAAUGGUUGGGGCGUCAUGGUGUCUCAUCGUUCGGGGGAGACUGAAGAUACCUUCAUCGCUGACCUGGUUGUGGGGCUGUGCACUGGGCAGAUCAAGACUGGUGCCCCCUGCCGAUCUGAGCGCUUGGCCAAGUACAACCAGCUCCUCAGAAUUGAAGAGGAGCUGGGCAGCAAGGCUAAGUUUGCCGGCAGGAACUUCAGAAACCCCCUGGCCAAGUAAGCUGUGGGCAGGCGAGCCCUUCGGUCACCUGUUGGCUACACAGACCCCUCCCCUCGUGUCAGCUCAGGCAGCUCGAGGCCCCCGACCAACACUUGCGGGGGUCCCUGCUAGUUAGCGCCGCACCGCCGUGGAGUUCGUACCGCUUCCUUAGAACUUCUGCAGAAGCCAAGCUCCCUGGAGCCCUGUUGGCAGCUCUAGCUUUGCAGUCGUGUAAUUGGCCCAAAUCAUUGUUUUUCUCGCCUCACUUUCCACCAAGUGUCUGGAGUCAUGUGAGCCUCGUGUCAUCUCCGGGGUGGCCACAGGCUAGAUCCCCGGUGGUUUUGUGCUCAAAAUAAAAAGCCUCAGUGACCCAUGA
rnacentral:sRNA from 1 species